rnacentral:lncRNA from 15 species
AUGCGUCUAACUGUGGUGGUCACUGCCGUCCUGCUGCUGGUGUACUCUUUGGACACCAUGACAGCCGGACCUUUUUCAAUAAGGAAAAUAUGUCUCGAGCAUCGAGAUAACCCAUGCUCUGAAGGAUGGAGCCGCAUUGAUGAGAAUCGGUGCGCUACAUACAUCCAGAGCCAGAAAACUUUCCAUGAGGCACAGGAACACUGCAGAACCUUGAACAGUGACCUGGUGUCACUGCACGGUUAUAACGAGCUUUAUAACCUGCUCUGUUUGACCUGGCGUGCCGACCCUCGUCCCCAAACUAUUUGGAUUGGAGCCCAGAGAUCAGAGGGAUCGAUUAGGAACACCGACGGAUCUGAAUUCAAGCUGAAUGUUUGGUUCCGUGUUAACAAGUACCGUGGAAAAGACCCCUGCAUCAUCUUGAAGGUUGGAGAUGAGCCAUGGUUCAGUGCGGUACGCUGCUCCAAGGAGAAGAACUUCGUCUGUGCCAAGAAUAUGUGA